AUGCAUGUGUUGUUGAUGUUGCUGCUGGUGCUGCUUGGGAGCUUGCGUACUGCACUUUGUUUUAAGACAGUAUUUGGGUGUCUGUUUUGCCUUGUGAUUGUUCCAACCUGCAACUUGUUUGCAGGUUUUCGUUCAACGGGAGUAAGGGAAACAACUGGAGUAAAUAGCAAAAAGCUACCACAUUACAGGCUAGGGACAAAAAUAGACGUCCAGACUCCAACCACCAUGAGUUUAUCUUCCUUUGGGAUUGUUAGUGCCCUCAAUGAUUGCAUCACUUUGUUUCAGUGGGCCAAAUCUGCCAUUUCGUCUCUCCACUCCAGAUGGAGUAGUUCACAGGAGGAGCAAAGUCUCCAGGAUCGUGUAUUACAGUUGGAGAGUGACCUACAACUUCUCAGGGAUACUCUUCCUGCAAUGCAUGACCUCAUUAAUAAAGCAGAGUGUGGCAAAGCCAUGAACACAGUCUGGCCAUGCUCCUCCUGA
rnacentral:rRNA from 1 species